UACGUAGGGGGGCAAGCGUUGUCCGGAUUUAUUGGGCGUAAAGAGCGUGUAGGCGGCCAGACAGGUCCGUUGUGAAAACUAGAGGCUUAACCUCUAGACGUCGAUGGAAACCGUCUGGCUAGAGUCCGGAAGAGGAGAAUGGAAUUCCUGGGUGUAGCGGUGAAAUGCGCAGAUAUCAGGAAGAACACCCGUGGCUAAGGCGGUUCUCUAGUACGGUACUGACGCUGAGACGCGAAAGCGUGGGGAGCGAACAGG
rnacentral:rRNA from 1 species